GACGAACGCUGGCGGCGUGCUUAACACAUGCAAGUCGAACGGAAAGGCCCUGCUUUUGUGGGGUGCUCGAGUGGCGAACGGGUGAGUAACACGUGAGUAACCUGCCCUUGACUUUGGGAUAACUUCAGGAAACUGGGGCUAAUACCGGAUAGGAGCUCCUGCUGCAUGGUGGGGGUUGGAAAGUUUCGGCGGUUGGGGAUGGACUCGCGGCUUAUCAGCUUGUUGGGGGGGUAGUGGCUUACCAAGGCUUUGACGGGUAGCCGGCCUGAGAGGGUGACCGGCCACAUUGGGACUGAGAUACGGCCCAGACUCCUACGGGAGGCAGCAGUGGGGAAUAUUGCACAAUGGGCGGAAGCCUGAUGCAGCAACGCCGCGUGCGGGAUGACGGCUUUCGGGGUGUAAACCGCUUUCGACUGUGACGAAGAGUGAGUGACGGUAAUGGGUAAAGAAGCACCGGCUAACUACGUG
rnacentral:rRNA from 1 species